rnacentral:rRNA from 1 species
UACGUAGGCAGCGAGCGUUGCUCGGAAUCACUGGGCGUAAAGCGCACGUAGGCGGGUCCUUAAGUCAGGGGUGAAAUCCCGGAGCUCAACUCCGGAACUGCCUUUGAUACUGGGGAUCUUGAGUCCGGAAGAGGUGAGUGGAACUCCGAGUGUAGAGGUGAAAUUCGUAGAUAUUCGGAAGAACACCAGUGGCGAAGGCGGCUCACUGGUCCGGUACUGACGCUGAGGUGCGAAAGCGUGGGGAGCAAACAGG